GGCCCAGUGGCACAUGGUGUCUAUCUGCGCACAAUUAAAGUAUACAUGUCAAUACUGUGCAGACAUCCCUGGUUCGACUCCAGGCUGGGUCA